rnacentral:rRNA from 1 species
UACGUAGGCAGCGAGCGUUGUUCGGAGUUACUGGGCGUAAAGGGUGUGUAGGCGGUUCUUUAAGUUUGGUGUGAAAUCUCCCGGCUCAACUGGGAGGGUGCGCCGAAUACUGAGGGACUUCGAGUGCGGGAGAGGAAAGUGGAAUUCCUGGGUAGCGGUGAAAUGCGUAGAUAUCAGGAGGAACACCGGUGGUGUAGACGGCUUUCUGGACCGUAACUGACGCUGAGACACGAAAGCGUGGGUAGCAAACAGG